CCUGGACCCGGUUCUGCUUUCAGGGCAAGUGCAAACUGUCUGAGGAGGAAAAAAUUACUUCUAGGAUGAAGCAUUUUACCUCUUUUUCAUUUUCUAAGAUGAUCUCUCAGAUACCUUGCGAAGCCACGCAGAACAAAAGGGAGUCAUUACAUAUUUGGAAAAUGCAUUGGACCUCAUGAUUUGGGAAUGAGCUAUAAGACUGACAGCUGGGACAGCUAAUUUAAGAGUAGAAUUCUUUAGGUCCUGUACCUUAAAGGAAAAGACAGUUUUCAGGAGCUGCCAUUAAGAAUAAUCUGAGGAUGACAAAGACCCUGCCUUCAAUCCUCUAAUUAGCUUGGCUGCUCCUAUUCAUCCUCCACUUCCUGAGGUCAGUGGAGGGAAGCUGUCCAGUGAGAAGGUGGACUUCUGAUUACAUGGAGGAGAAAACGUGAAGGCGCCACUUCCUCGAAGGGCCUGAGGACCACUGACUAUAAGAAGAAAGACUCGCUGGGCAUGGUGGCUCACGCCUGUAAUCCCAGCACUUUGGGAGGCCAACGCAGGUGGAUCACUUGAGGUCAGGAGUUCAAGACCAACCUGGCCAACAUGGUGAAACCCCAUCUCUACUAAAAAUAUAAAAACUAGCCAGGCUUGGUGGUGGGCACCUGUAAUCCCAGCUACUUGGGAGGCUGAGGCAGGAGAAUUGCUUGAACCCAGGAGACGGAGGUUGCAGCCAGCCGACACAGUGCCACUGUACUCCAGCCUUGGUGACAGAGUGAGAAUCUGUCUCAAAAAAAAAAAAAAAAAAAGAAGAAGAAAGACUCAACCCGUUCUGCCUGUCCUCUAAUCCUCAUCCCUCAUCUCUAUCAUCUCUAGAGCUAUUACCAAAUGUUUUCAUUAAUGGAAUAACUUGCUGCUCUGGGCCACCAGUAUUAGCAAAUAUAUGGGUUCCAAUUGGUUUAAAAUAGUAUAUUAAAUUACAAGUCAAAACAACUUUGAUCUGGAUUGUAACUCAAGAGAAUUGUUAAUGUUUUGAAAAGAUCUGGGGCCCAUGCAUAUGAAAGGUUCAUUCUGGUUAGGGAUUUGUGGUCCAAUUUGCUUCCAAGCCCUGGUAGGAAUGCAUCAACCCCUCA
rnacentral:lncRNA from 1 species